rnacentral:rRNA from 1 species
GAUGAACGCUAGCGGCAGGCUUAACACAUGCAAGUCGAGGGGUAUAGUUCUUCGGAAUUAGAGACCGGCGCACGGGUGCGUAACGCGUAUGCAAUCUACCUUUUGCAGAGGGAUAGCCCAGAGAAAUUUGGAUUAAUACCUCAUAGUAUAGCACAACCGCAUGGUUGAGUUAUUAAAGUCACAACGGCAAAAGAUGAGCA